CAGAAACACAGGCUGCACGUCUGUGUCUCACAUCCUCUCCAGAGGUUAUGCAUGAACCAAAGAUCAGCUGAUUGAACUUAAGCCGACCGGCUGAUUUACCUGCAGAAAUCUGGAGGAAAACACACAUGGAGGAAUUCAGAGGAGGAAGAAGACCACGGGGGAGGAGAGCGGGGUCUACACACGAGAGGCUUUUGGGUACAAAAAGAUACCGUUUACAUCAAAACCCCUCAACGCCGUAAAUAUGCAACGCUUUGUGCUAUCGUACAAAUUCCAACGGUUUCUGAAAGCUGAGAAGUCGCACGUCACGUUGUU